UUCUUGCAAUCAAUAAGAAGUAAUUCCUGCCCAGUGAUAUUAUUCAACGGCCGCGGUACCCUAACCGUGCAAAGGUAGCAUAAUCACUUGCCCAUUAAUUGUGGGCUAGAAUGAACGGACUAACGAAAUAAAAACUGUCUCUAUAAGUCUCAUAAAAAUUAAUCUCUAACUGAAGAGUGUUAGAUUAAAUCGAAGGACAAGAAGACCCUAUAGAACUUCAUUUUAAUAAAGACUUAAACUUUAAUAAAAUUUGGUUGGGGCGACCGGGGAAAACUAAUCAUCCCUUAUUAAAAGAUAAAUAAAUCUAAAUGCUGACCCUUAACAAAGAUCACAAGAACAAGCUACCUUAGGGAUAACAGGCUAAUCCUAUUAAAGAGUCCUUAUCAAUAAUAGGGGUUGGCACCUCGAUGUUGGCUUAGGGAAUCUAUGCGGCGCAAAAGUCACAU
rnacentral:rRNA from 1 species